rnacentral:rRNA from 1 species
GCUCAUAGCGUAUAUUAAGUUGUUGCAGUUAAAAAGCUCGUAGUUGAAUUUCGGGAUCAAUUUGUUGGUCGUGCCUCUGUACUUACUGGGAUUAUUGGUUUCUACCUUCUGAAUAACCUUGAUGUCAUUAAUUUGGUGUCUUGGGGAAUCAGGACUGUUACUUUGAAAAAAUU